rnacentral:rRNA from 1 species
CGAACGGGUGAGGAACGCGUGGACAACCUACCCCGGCGUGGGGGAUACCCGCCAGAAAUGGCGGCUAAUACCGCGUACGGUUCUCCGGCGAAGGGCUGGGGAAAGAAAGCAGUAAUGCGCGCUGGGAGGGGUCUGCGGCCGAUUAGCUUGUUGGCGGGGUAACGGCCCACCAAGGCGAUGAUCGGUAGCUGGUCUGAGAGGAUGAUCAGCCACACUGGGACUGAGACACGGCCCAG